rnacentral:rRNA from 1 species
UACGGGGGGGGGCAAGCGUUGUUCGGAAUUACUGGGCGUAAAGGGCUCGUAGGUGGCCAACUAAGUCAGACGUGAAAUCCCUCGGCUUAACCGGGGAACUGCGUCUGAUACUGGAUGGCUUGAGUUCGGGAGAGGGAUGCGGAAUUCCAGGUGUAGCGGUGAAAUGCGUAGAUAUCUGGAGGAACACCGGUGGCGAAGGCGGCAUCCUGGACCAACACUGACGCUGAGGAGCGAAAGCCAGGGGAGCAAACGGG